ensembl:lncRNA
CUGGCUUUCCCAAGUUAUCACAACAGUGAUAAAAUGGUAUAAAAACAACAGAUCCCAUGUUACAAUCCACUCAAAAAUUAUAAGGGAUCUAAGGGUCUCAGGCGAAUUGCAUUCAUUACACAAUCAUGAAAGCGUGGCCACUGAAAGUGCAGGCCCUUUUUCCUCUCCAAGCCUGGUGGUCAUCCUGUUUUGCAAACAGAGAGGAUCUUACCCCGGAUCACUGAGCCAUCCAGCUGGGAAUGACACCCACACCUACUUACAGCCAGAAGUGCUUUCGUUUGUUAUUUCGUAUUUAUGCCCAUAAAAGCGGAAGAUGAUUGGUCUCUUCAUUGAAAGAAUGGCCAUGAUCAGCUUUGUGGUUUCGGGGGCGGGGAUGGGAGGGUAAGAUAAAAGUGUUUUGGCACAAACUCCUAGUUAUAAGAUAAAUACAGACGAAGUACGUGAUGUACAACAUGAUAAAUAUAAUUAACACUGCUAUAUGUUAUGGGUGAACAUUGUUUAAAGGGUAAAUCCUAAGAGUUCUCAUCACAAGGAAAAAAAUCUAUUUCUUUAAUUUUAGAUCUACGUAAGAUGACGGAUGGUCGCUCAACUCCUUGUGAUAAUCAUUUCAUGUUGUGUGUAAGUCCGGUUAUUACGCUGUCCGCCUUAAAUGUAUAGUGCGGUGUGUCCACUGUUGUGUGCUCAGUUAUGCCUGACUCUUUGUGACCCCGUGGACUGUAGCCCACCAGGCUCCUCUGUCCAUGGGGCUCUCUAGGCAAGAAUACUAAAGUGGGUUGACAUUUCCUAUUCCAGGGGAUCUUCCUGACUCAGGGAUUGAAUGCACAUCUCCCUUGUCUCCUGCAUCAGCAAGCUAAUUCUUUACCACUGGGUCACCUGGGAAGUGUAUCCAUUGUAUCUCAACAAAAGUGGAAGGGAGAAAAAUAGAUGACCACAGUUCUUAAACAUGUAUCUCCACCUUCCAUAACACUAAGCCUAACUUUUUUUUUUUCCCCCUACAAAAUGUGAGCCCUUAGUUCUCUGACCAGGGAUCAAACCCCUGCCCCUUACAGCAAAAGGGAGUCCUAACCACCGGACCAUUAGGCAAGUCCUUUACCACUCACUUUUGAUGAAGUUCCUCUCAGGUGGACACAGACCAGAGCGGCUAGUCAGAGUAUUCAGAGGCAGAGAGAAAACUCCUUAUCGGAGGUUCUGACUACAGAAAAUGUAGAAAUAAAUCUUCUUUAAUGACUUCCGAAAGCACACCCUGGUAAUUUACUUUGGUCUUGCUGUGUUCUUGCUUUUUUGUUGUUGUUGUUGUUGUUUUUUUUAACAACUUCAGACUAGAAGAUUUGGGUAUUUGGAGGUUUGUUUGCUUUUCAGUUAGAACUCAGAAAAUCAUCUGUCUUACCUCAAAGAUGAGCAUAGAAUGCAUUACAGACCG